rnacentral:rRNA from 1 species
AGAGUUUGAUCCUGGCUCAGGACGAACGCUGACGGUGUGCUUUAGGCAUGCAAGUCGAACGAGAAAGCCCUUCGGGGUGAGUAAAGUGGCGAACGGGUGAGUAACACGUGGGCAACCUGCCCCUCGCAGGGGGACAACCGGAGGAAACUCCGGCUAAUACCCCGUACGCUUGCUGGAUCGCAUGGUCCGGCAAGGAAAGGUAGCUUCGGCCAUCCGGCGAGGGAUGGGCCCGCGUUGCAUUAGCUAGUUGGUGGGGUAACGGCCUACCAAGGCGACGAUGCGUAGCUGGUCUGAGAGGAUGAUCAGCCACACUGGGACUGAGACACGGCCCAGACUCCUACGGGAGGCAGCAGCCAGGAAUCUUGGGCAAUGGGCGAAAGCCUGACCCAGCAACACCGUGUGGGCGAUGAAGGCCUUAGGGUCGUAAAGCCCUGUUGAUAGGGACGAAGGGCGAAGGGUUAAUAGCCCCUAGCUUGACGGUACCUUUCGAGGAAGCCCCGGCUAACUACGUGCCAGCAGCCGCGGUAAUACGUAGGGGGCGAGCGUUGUCCGGAAUUAUUGGGCGUAAAGAGCGUGUAGGCGGUUCGGUAAGUCUGUCGUGAAAUCCUGGGGCUCAACCCUGGGCGUGCGAUGGAUACUGCCGGGCUAGAGGGUGGUAGAGGCGAGUGGAAUUCCCGGUGUAGCGGUGAAAUGCGCAGAUAUCGGGAGGAACACCAGUAGCGAAGGCGGCUCGCUGGGCCACACCUGACGCUGAGACGCGAAAGCUAGGGGAGCGAACAGGAUUAGAUACCCCGGUAGUCC